rnacentral:rRNA from 1 species
AGCUCCAAUAGCGUAUAUUAAAGUUGUUGCAGUUAAAACGCUCGUAGUCGGAUUUCGGGGCGGGCCGACCGGUCUGCCGAUGGGUAUGCACUGGCCGGCGCGUCCUUCCACCCGGAGACCGCGCCUACUCUUAACUGAGCGGGCGCGGGAGACGGGUCUUUUACUUUGAAAAAAUCAGAGUGUUCCAAGCAGGCAGUCGCUCUUGCAUGGAUUAGCAUGGGAUAAUGAAAUAGGACUCUGGUGCUAUUUUGUUGGUUUCGAACACCGGAGUAAUGAUUAACAGGGACAGUCAGGGGCACUCGUAUUCCGCCGAGAGAGGUGAAAUUCUCAGACCAGCGGAAGACGAACCACUGCGAAAGCAUUUGCCAGGGAUGUUU